rnacentral:rRNA from 1 species
UGCAAGUCGAACGGUAACAGGUUAAGCUGACGAGUGGCGAACGGGUGAGUAAUGUAUCGGAACGUGCCCAGUCGUGGGGGAUAACUGCUCGAAAGAGCAGCUAAUACCGCAUACGACCUGAGGGUGAAAGCGGGGGAUCGCAAGACCUCGCGCGAUUGGAGCGGCCGAUAUCAGAUUAGGUAGUUGGUGAGGUAAAGGCUCACCAAGCCGACGAUCUGUAGCUGGUCUGAGAGGACGACCAGCCACACUGGGACUGAGACACGGCCCAGACUCCUACGGGAGGCAGCAGUGGGGAAUUUUGGACAAUGGGCGCAAGCCUGAUCCAGCCAUGCCGCGUGCGGGAAGAAGGCCUUCGGGUUGUAAACCGCUUUUGUCAGGGAAGAAAAGGUUCUGGCUAAUACCUGGGACUCAUGACGGUACCUGAAGAAUAAGCACCGGCUAACUACGUGCCAGCAGCCGCGGUAAUACGUAGGGUGCAAGCGUUAAUCGGAAUUACUGGGCGUAAAGCGUGCGCAGGCGGUUAUGCAAGACAGAGGUGAAAUCCCCGGGCUCAACCUGGGAACUGCCUUUGUGACUGCAUGGCUAGAGUACGGUAGAGGGGGAUGGAAUUCCGCGUGUAGCAGUGAAAUGCGUAGAUAUGCGGAGGAACACCGAUGGCGAAGGCAAUCCCCUGGACCUGUACUGACGCUCAUGCACG